UACGGGGGGAGCAAGCGUUGUUCGGAUUUACUGGGCGUAAAGGGCGCGUAGGCGGCCACCGCAAGUCGACUGUGAAAUCUCCGGGCUUAACCCCGGAAAGGUCAGCCGAUACUGCGGGGCUAGAGUGCAGAAGGGGCAACUGGAAUUCUCGGUGUAGCGGUGAAAUGCGUAGAUAUCGAGAGGAACACCUGCGGCGAAGGCGGGUUGCUGGGCUGACACUGACGCUGAGAAGCGAAAGCAUGGGGAGCGAACAGG
rnacentral:rRNA from 1 species